ACCUCCUCCUCUCCUCCCCCUCUCCUCUCCUCCGCCUCCUCCUCCUCUCCUCCGCCUCCUCCACUCAUCUCCUCUCCUCCACCUCCUCCUCUCAUCUCCUCUCCUCCACCUCCUCCACUCAUCUCCUCUCCUCCACCUCCUCCACCUCCUCUGCCUCCUCCACCUCCUCCACCUCCUCCUCUCAUCUCCUCUCAUCCCCUCUCCUCCGCCUCCUCCUCUCAUCUCCUCUCCACCUCCUCCACCUCCUCCUCUCAUCUCCUCUCCUCUCCUCCACCUCCUCCUCUCAUCCCCUCUUCUCUCCUCCCCCUCUCCUCUCCUCUGGCUCUCCACCUCCUCCUCUCCUCUCAUCUCCUCUCCUCUCCUCUCCUCCGCCUCCUCCUCUCCUCCGCCUCUCCACCUCCUCCUCUCCUCUCAUCCCCUCUCCUCUCCGCCUCCUCCUCCUCUCAUCUCCUCUCCACCUCCUCCACCUCCUCCUCUCAUCUCCUCCUCCUCUCCUCCACCUCCUCUCCUCUCUCCAUAAUAUUUCAGCGUUCAGAUUUGCUCUCUUUCACACACACGCAAACACACAGACCCACAGACCCACACACACACACUGACACACACACACACACACACACACACACACACACACACACACACACACACACACACACACACACACACACACACACACACACAUGCACACACAAACACACAUACAUUCAUUCCCUCUCCCUUGCACUGUCAAAAGUGACAGGCUCGUCCACGCCUUUAUCUCCUCAAGACUGGACUACUGUAAUUCACUCUUCACUGGGAUCACUGGCAAGAACAUCCAGAAGCUGCAGUACAUCCAAAACAGCGCUGCCAGGAUCCUGAUGAGAGUCCGGAAAUAUGAGCACAUAACACCCAUUCUACACUCACUACACUGGUUCCCUGUCUCAUUCCGUAUUGACUACAAAGUCCUACUACUCACCCAUGAAUGCAUAAAUGGACAUGCACCUCCCUACCUACAAGAACUCAUUACUCCCCAAACAUCCAACCGCACCCUCAGAUCCACAAACAGCUUGCUCCUCCGGGUCCCCAACACCAAGCUCCGCACCAUGGG
rnacentral:lncRNA from 1 species